UACGUAGGGGGCUAGCGUUGUCCGGAAUCAUUGGGCGUAAAGAGCGCGUAGGCGGCUAGAUAAGUCCGGUGUGAAAGUCACAGGCUCAACCUGUGAAUGCCGCUGGAAACUGUCUGGCUAGAGUCCGGAAGGGGCGAGUGGAAUUCCUGGUGUAGCGGUGAAAUGCGCAGAUAUCGUUUGGAACGCCAAUGGUGAAAACAGACAGCUGGGAGUGUGCUGACGCUGAGACACGAAAGCCAGGGGAGCGAACGGG
rnacentral:rRNA from 1 species